rnacentral:rRNA from 1 species
CAUACCGAACACGGAAGUUAAGCUCUUCAGCGCCGAUGGUAGUUGGGGGUCUCCCCCUGCAAGAGUAGGACGUCGCUGGGC